UAAAGUAAAUCAACGAAGUUGCGAUAUUAGCGCAGCUGGCAGCGCGUCAGUCUCAUAAUCUGAAGGUCGUGAG
rnacentral:tRNA from 1 species